CAGUCGCCGCGGUAAUACGAGGGGGGCAAGCGUUGUUCGGAAUUAUUGGGCGUAAAGGGUGCGUAGGCGGUUUGGCAAGUUUGGUGUGAAAUCUUCGGGCUCAACUCGAAGUCUGCAUCGAAAACUGCCGGGCUUGAGUAUGGGAGAGGUAAGUGGAAUUUCCGGUGUAGCGGUGAAAUGCGUAGAUAUCGGAAGGAACACCUGUGGCGAAAGCGGCUCACUGGACCAUAACUGACGCUGAUGCACGAAAGCUAGGGGAGCAAACAGGAUUAGAUACCCCCGUAGUCCCUGUCUCUUAUAC
rnacentral:rRNA from 1 species